AGAGUUUGAUCCUGGCUCAGGAUGAACGCUAGCUACAGGCUUAACACAUGCAAGUCGAGGGGAAACGACAUCGAAAGCUUGCUUUUGAUGGGCGUCGACCGGCGCACGGGUGAGUAACGCGUAUCCAACCUGCCCACCACUUGGGGAUAACCUUGCGAAAGUAAGACUAAUACCCAAUGACGUCUCUAGAAGACAUCUGAAAGAGAUUAAAGAUUUAUCGGUGAUGGAUGGGGAUGCGUCUGAUCAGCUUGUUGGCGGGGUAACGGCCACCAGGGCGACGAUCAGUAGGGGUUCUGAGAGGAAGGUCCCCCACAUUGGAACUGAGACACGGUCCAAACUCCUACGGGAGCA
rnacentral:rRNA from 1 species